CUCCAUAGAAAUGUAGGUGGGGGCAGUAGGUUGGGGACCCAUGAAUGUCCGGGAGGAGCAGUACCCAGCCAAGAUUUCUGGGAGGAUGGAGAAAAGGCAAGUUUAUGUGGUAGACUGGGUCCCACCGUCAUCAGGAGAGGGAUCGGCCAGAUGGGAGGUGCGCACCUUGUCUCUUGACAUGAGUAUGAGGCAGAGAUGGUAAGGGAUCAGGCACUGGGCCCCUCGAGGAUGCUUCCUGACUGCCUGUGUCUGGGGACAAAUCUCAGGGACCCAGCCUCUUCUCUGGGGGAUGGCCAUGACCUUGCAGAGAUUUCAGAAUGAGGAGCCCCGCCUGGCUUUUUGUGCCCUGUGAAGACUAGGUCGUGGUAACCUCUGGCAAGGGGCCAAUGGCACUUCUCUUCUCCUGCUCAGACAGCAGCUGCUGGCCUUCCUGCAGUUUCAGAUCUGGUUCUGACAGACUCAUGGAAGGCCGUGUUCUCGCUGGAGAUGAGCAAUCAGAGAGAAGACCGACCACCGGGGUGACAGAGCCAGAAGAAAGGGCCCUUUUCUUCAAGGGGAGCUGGCUGCUGUGAUGGAAGCCUGACCAGGAUCAUCAUGAAGAACCUCCAUUUAUCAGGACUACAGGGCCCAGGGACUUCCAUGUGAAGAAGGAACCAAGUUCAGAUGUUCUGAGCACUUUGGGUCCACUUAUCUCAGCAUCUUGCAUUACUAUAAUUAAUGCAAACAGCAUCUGGGAGUGAGAAUGUUGCCAUAACAACAAACCUAAAUCACGUGGGACUGGCCCAGGGGAUGGGCAGUGGGAGGAGAGGGCAUAGAGAUCUCAGGUAGGGAAGCAGGGACUCACUGUGUGGUUGCAGAAUAUUUAACGAUCUGUCUCUUCAAGUAAUUUGGAAGAUCAAGGGCUAUGGCCCUGGGGAGGUGAGAAGCCUAAAAUCUCCUGUGUACCUGUCCACCUGUGCUGUGCUGUCCAUAGUGUACUAUUCUAAAAUCAUCCUGAGGCCAGGGGAGAACUGUCCAGGAUGUGAGCAGGAACGGAAGAACAUCAUCAAAAAUGA